CCAAAGCAUUCUCUGGUGUUGAAGGCCCUGCAAAGCAGCAUCGCGGUGGCGGAGCGUCGUUUGCGACGCCCAACACACAAAACAAGCGGUGAGUGCUUUGGGGUGGGGUGACUGCGUACCUUUUGUAUAAUGGGUCAGCGACUUAUAUUCUGUAGCAAGGUUAACCGAAUAGGGGAGCCGGAGGGAAACCGAGUCUUAAUUGGGCGUUAAGUUGCAGGGUAUAGACCCGAAACCCGGUGAUCUAGCCAUGGGCAGGUUGAAGGUUGGGUAACACUAACUGGAGGACCGAACCGACUAAUGUUGAAAAAUUAGCGGAUGACCUGUGGCUGGGGGUGAAAGGCCAAUCAAACCGGGAGAUAGCUGGUUCUCCCCGAAAGCUAUUUAGGUAGCGCCUCGUGAAUUCAUCUCCGGGGGUAGAGCACUGUUUCGGCUAGGGGGCCAUCCCGGCUUACCAACCCGAUGCAAACUGCGAAUACCGGAGAAUGUUAUCACGGGAGACACACGGCGGGUGCUAACGUCCGUCGUGAAGAGGGAAACAACCCAGACCGCCAGCUAAGGUCCCAAAGUCAUGGUUAAGUGGGAAACGAUGUGGGAAGGCCCAGACAGCCAGGAUGUUGGCUUAGAAGCAGCCAUCAUUUAAAGAAAGCGUAAUAGCUCACUGGUCGAGUCGGCCUGCGCGGAAGAUGUAACGGGGCUAAACCAUGCACCGAAGCUGCGGCAGCGACGCUUAUGCGUUGUUGGGUAGGGGAGCGUUCUGUAAGCCUGCGAAGGUGGCCUGUGAGGGUUGCUGGAGGUAUCAGAAGUGCGAAUGCUGACAUAAGUAACGAUAAAGCGGGUGAAAAGCCCGCUCGCCGGAAGACCAAGGGUUCCUGUCCAACGUUAAUCGGGGCAGGGUGAGUCGACCCCUAAGGCGAGGCCGAAAGGCGUAGUCGAUGGGAAACGGGUUAAUAUUCCCGUACUUGGUGUUACUGCGAAGGGGGGACGGAGAAGGCUAUGUUGGCCGGGCGACGGUUGUCCCGGUUUAAGCGUGUAGGUGUGUGUUCCAGGUAAAUCCGGUUCACUUUAACACUGAGGCGUGAUGACGAGGCACUACGGUGCUGAAGCAACAAAUGCCCUGCUUCCAGGAAAAGCCUCUAAGCAUCAGGUAACAUCAAAUCGUACCCCAAACCGACACAGGUGGUCAGGUAGAGAAUACCAAGGCGCUUGAGAGAACUCGGGUGAAGGAACUAGGCAAAAUGGUGCCGUAACUUCGGGAGAAGGCACGCUGACAUGUAGGUGAAGUGAUUUACUCAUGGAGCUGAAGUCAGUCGAAGAUACCAGCUGGCUGCAACUGUUUAUUAAAAACACAGCACUGUGCAAACACGAAAGUGGACGUAUACGGUGUGACGCCUGCCCGGUGCCGGAAGGUUAAUUGAUG
rnacentral:rRNA from 1 species